UACGUAGGUGGCAAGCGUUGUCCGGAUUUAUUGGGUUUAAAGGGUGCGUAGGCGGCUUUGUAAGUCAGUGGUGAAAUAUGGCAGCUCAACUGUCAGGGUGCCAUUGAUACUGCGGAGCUUGAGUACAGAUGAGGUAGGCGGAAUUGACGGUGUAGCGGUGAAAUGCUUAGAUAUCGUCAAGAACACCGAUAGCGAAGGCAGCUUACUAGGCUGUAACUGACGCUGAGGCACGAAAGUGUGGGGAGCGAACAGG
rnacentral:rRNA from 1 species